CCCCAGAGGACUAGUGGUUAGACCACGGCGCUCUCACCGCCACGGCCCGGGGUUCGAUUCCUGGUCAGGGAA